rnacentral:rRNA from 1 species
GACGAACGCUGGCGGCGUGCUUAACACAUGCAAGUCGAACGGAAAGGCCCUGCUUUUGUGGGGUGCUCGAGUGGCGAACGGGUGAGUAACACGUGAGUAACCUGCCCUUGACUUUGGGAUAACUUCAGGAAACUGGGGCUAAUACCGGAUAGGAGCUCCUGCUGCAUGGUGGGGGUUGGAAAGUUUCGGCGGUUGGGGAUGGACUCGCGGCUUAUCAGCUUGUUGGUGGGGUAGUGGCUUACCAAGGCUUUGACGGGUAGCCGGCCUGAGAGGGUGACCGGCCACAUUGGGACUGAGAUACGGCCCAGACUCCUACGGGAGGCAGCAGUGGGGAAUAUUGCACAAUGGGCGGAAGCCUGAUGCAGCAACGCCGCGUGCGGGAUGACGGCCUUCGGGUUGUAAACCGCUUUCGCCUGUGACGAAGCGUGAGUGACGGCAAUGGGUAAAGAAGCACCGGCUAACUCCGUG